CUGACUGAGACAUAAAGUCGUAUCAGAGCACAAUCAUGGACUUCUGUUUAUGUAUCGUCUAUAGCUGCCUUCAGCACAGAUACCAGACCUAAUUGAAAAGAGUUUCUCCAAAUAUUAAGUAUUCUGAACUGUCAAGCAAAGAUAAGAAGCAUUGUGUGCAGCUGUGUAAGACUGCCAUGUAAAUGAGGGCAUCAGUCUCCUAAAAAGAAAUGGUGCCCGUGGCUCCCAGCCAUGUUUCACAGCAAAAAGAAAAGAAAAGAAAGCAAAGUCUGAACUACAAAUGGACGACUUGUGCCUUUAAAUGAAGAAGAGAGAUGACAGUGCUUUCUUUCUAUACCCACGCAGAGAAAAGGUCACAUGAAAAAAAAAAAAAAGAAGAAGACAGCUAGCUGCAAGCCAGAAAAAGAGGCCUUACUAAAAACUAAAUUGCUUAGCACCUUUAUAUUGGACUUCUUGCCUCCAGAACCAUGAGAUAAUAAAUAUCUACUGUGU